rnacentral:misc_RNA from 1 species
UCCGGUUUGUCACCGGCAGUCACCUUAGAGUGCCCAACUGAAUGCUGGCAACUAAGGGCGAGGGUUGCGCUCGUUGCGGGACUUAACCCAACACCUCACGACACGAGCUGACGACAGCCAUGCAGCACCUCUCCAGCGGCCUCCGAAGAGGGGGACUCAUCUCUGAGUCUUUCCACUGAAGUUCAAACCCAGGUAAGGUUCUGCGCGUUGCUUCGAAUUAAACCACAUGCUCCACCGCUUGUGCGGGCCCCCGUCAAUUCCUUUGAGUUUCAGUCUUGCGACCGUACUCCCCAGGCGGAAUGCUUAAUCCGUUAGGUGUGACACCGAAGGGCAAGCCCCCCGACGUCUGGCAUUCAUCGUUUACGGCGUGGACUAC